rnacentral:lncRNA from 1 species
ACCAGCCUUUCCUGCAUGAAUUCUUGACAGCUUUCAAGAUCCAGAUGGGAAGAGGGCAGUGCUAUAGGAGGGGAGACCACUGGUGACAUGCCAGGCGGAUCCAAAACCAAGCAGAAGCGCUCAGAAGCACCCUUGUCAGAACACUGGGAGAGAGAGACGUUGACAGCCACCAACCGAAUGCUGAACGAAGGCGGAGGAAACUGGAAAAUGAAUGCUAUGGUGAAUGCCACCGAGUCCAUGGGGACAGUAAUGAGAAAAUGAAGAUGGAUGCUUCUUGGAGCUCAGCUAACGGCUUUGCUCUGGUUCCAUCAUCUGCCUUUAAUGAUUCUGGUUCCUCUAUGGAGAUCAUUGGUUUUCAGCAAGGUCCAGUGAAGAGGCAGAGAACUGAGUUAGCUGUGUCGUCUUAGUGGAGGAAGAACUUUGGACAGACUUCUACGCUUCCCACCCUCUGACACCUGUAGAAAAUCGUCAUUCUAGUCCAGAGAGAUAUUUUAAAGUACAGAGGACACGAGUGCACAUAAGACGUGAUCCCUCCCCUCGAGCUGCUCACCUCUAGAAGACAGAUGAAAGAGGACAAAGUUAUCGGUUUUCCCCUGGACUCCUGCAAACUCCACCUGGAAGAAGAAUCUGUUCUCCAUCUCCGAGGCAGUGGUUCUCACACAUGCUCAUUACAAGAGUCCCUCAAAGGGGCAGAGUCCCAGCUGGAAUCAGGAAAUGUGAUCACAGAAGCCAGGUCAGAGUGAUGUGCCUGUUGGCUUCAAAGACGGAGGAAAGGGGCCAUGAGCCAAAGGAUGUGAGCAGCCUCUAGAAGCUGGACAAGGCAAAGAUUCUCUGCCAGAGACUCUGAAAGGAACAGAGCUCCGCCGACAUCUGCGUUAGCCCAGUGAGACCCUUUUUGGACAUCUGGACUAGAGAAUGGAGCCGGUGCCUUCAUCUCUGUAACUAAGACCUGACACGUCCAUGGGGUCCAGCGGGAGGACAGGUGAACUGCUUUGGCUAUUGUGCGUGCUGUGGCUGGAGCCCGCUCAGCAUUCCAUUGGCACGGCGUUUAGAACCUGAGUCUCUGCAAACAUGAUUAAAGGAAAGGAGUUACUAGUUUUUCCUCUCUUCUGGCUGUUAUCUGGGAAGCUCUGAACUCAGAGGAGUUGCCGAGUGGGGGUGUCUUGCAUGAAAGAAGAUGGGAAGGAAAGAACUCCCCAUUUCACCUUCCUAAGCAGUGGAGGAAGGGGAUCAGAAACAGCAAGUGCUGAUGAAAACUCCACUUCCAAAUACAUUCCAUGGCUUAUUUGUGGAGGGAAAUGCUUUUUACCUUUUGAACUUUCAGAUACCUGGCAAAAGCAAAUGGGUCCUCAGGGGGACAGAGAGGUGUAAAUGGAAGCUCCUGUAAACGACUGUUGGCUUUCCCCCCAGGUUCUCUGGAUCCAGCAGCCCAAACUAAGACAAGAGGGAAUGAUGAUGCAACCAGGGUCCAAAUGGCACAUGCUGCAGACCUGCUGGUUGGCCUCCAGUCCCAGAUACUCCUGCCAUUAUUAGUAUGUGAAUCUUAUUUUACGACACAUUCUUUUCUAAGAGUCUUUUUUAUUCAAUUUUUUAUUAGGAAAGACAUUCACAUAACAUACACAUUUUUACGUGUCCCAGCCAUUUUAUUCCCAUCUUGUGAGAAUUUUUGCGUGUCUUGAAUCUGGAUUCUUAAUGUAAAUAUAAGUAAAUACAUAGUCUAUAUCAGGCUCUAAUGUUUUCUCUUUCUCAACUGGGAACAUGCUAUACACACUAUGUAGAACCUAAGUUUUUCUGUUAAUAAUAUUUCUUGGAGAGAUUUCUAUGUCAGGACACAAAGAGCCUUCUUGUUCUUUUUUCACAGCUUAAUAGUAUUCCAUGUAGGUUAUCUAAAAUCUUUUGCUACAUAAGCACUGCUUAAAGGAAUGGCCUUAUGUCUGUGCCAUUUUACACAUCAGGGUGAGCAUAUGCAUAGGGUAACUAUUUUAGAAGUAGAAUUGCUGAGUUAACAUGUGUGUGCAUUUAUAAUUUUGACAGAGUUUGCCAAAUUGCUUCCUUAGAAGUGGUAAUUAUUUAUAUGCCCCCUAGCACUUUAUGCAAGUGCCUGCUCACCCACAGUCUUGCCAGUACAGUUGGAUCUGAUAUGUGGAAAAUGUUAUCUGAAUCUAGUUUCACUUUGUAUUUAUUUUACUGAGUGAGUUUGAGCAUCUUUUCCCAUUUAGAAGCCAUUUUAGUUGCAUUUCCCUGAAGUUUCAAUUUAUAUAUUUUGCUUCUUUUUUUUUUUUUUUACCUUUUAGGGCUGCACCUGCAGCCUAUGGAGGUUCCCAGGCUAGGGGUGGGAUGAGAGCUGUAGCCUCCAGCCUAAGGCCACAGCAACAGCAACGUUAGAUCGAGCUGUGUCUGUAACCUACACCACAGCUCACAGCAACACCGGAUUCUUAACCCACUGAGCAAGGCCAGGGAUCACACCUGUGUCCUCAUGGUACUGGUCAGGUUGUUUCCACUGAGCCAUGACAGGAACUCCAUAUUUUGCAAUUUUUAAACUAAAUUAUUGAUUGUCUUCUUGAUGAUUUGCAGAAGCUUUUUCUAUAUUAAAGAAAUUAGUCCUUUGAGAAAUGUUUCAAACAUUUUUCUAUCUCUCUCUCUUUUUUUUUUUUUUUGUCUUUUUGCCUUUUCUGGGGCCGCUCCCACUGCUUAUGGAGGUUCCCAGGCUAGGGAUUGAAUCGGAGCUACAGCUGCCAGCCUACACCACAGCUCACAGCAACACUGGAUCCUUAACCCACUGAGCAAGGCCAGGGAUCGAACCUGCAACCUCAUGGUUCCUAGUUGGAUUCAUUAACCACUGAGCCACGAUGGGAUCUCCUCAAACAUUUAACUCUAUUUUCAUCUUUCCUCUGACUUUACCUAUGGCAUUUUUCUAUUUUUUUCUCCUUUUUCUUUUUUUAUGUAGUCACAUCUAUCAAUCUUUUUUUUAAAAGCUUCUGUGUUUUGUGUCACAACCACUCCAUAUGUGUACAUCACACCAUUUAUCAACCAGUUGCCUUUCCUACAACUANAAAGCCAGAACUACUGCAGAGCACAAGGAACUAUAUCCAGUCUCCUGGGAUAGACCAUUAUGGAGGGGGGGAAAUAUAUAUAUAUAUAUGAAAUUUUAAAAAACUUAAAAAUAAGCAGCAGUAGUUUUUCUUGUUUUGUCUGUUGAUGAUCCGUGGGUGCCUUCUCUAAUUCCAUUUUUGGCUGGAUCACUGGCCAGGUCAAAAAAGAAAAAGAGGGAGAAAAGAGGGGGAAAAAAACGCAAGCAAGAAGAAAGCAAGCCUACCUUGCCCUCUGAAGGUGUGGUGUGAACAAAUGAAUCAGGCAGAUUUGGAGAAGGGGAGGCAGCCAGGGUCUAUGGCCAGGGCUCCCCUCACCUAGGCAACAGUUGGUAGGCAGCCUUUGUGGCAGUGGCUAAAAUCUCUUCCAGGGCUUGGCUGGGACAGUAUCUGCUGAAUAACUAGGCCAGUCCUAGAGCCAAGAUCCACAGCUCAGCUGCCGUUGCUGCUGCUGAAGAAGGCUCAAAACUCAUUUUUUGCUGAGUCAAAUCUCUCUUCGGGGAUUUGGAAAACAAAUGAGGCUCUGAAAAGUGGAAAUUCUUCUGGAUCAUUCUUUGGGAAACAAUGCAGUGAGUCUCUUUGUUAUUUAUUUUUUCUUAAAUAAUAAAUUCAGUCAAAGGUAAAGACCCCACUUUCCUGAGGGAUCUGGGACCAACUUACCCUGGAAGAAAUUUCUCUACUUGUCGGCAAAAACAACAGGACCGGAGAAAUGCACGAUUGAGGAAAAGAAGAACACAGAGAAAGAAAAGCUAUAUGUUUGAAUAUGAAAGACAGAUGCAGACAGUUUUCCAUGCCAGCUAGUCUGCUGUGUAUAAAUAGGAGGAGCUCAAGGUAAACUACCAAGAAAAUGACUCAUCUGGGCAAGAAUAAGGAAAGAGAUCAAGUGUUCCUGAGUUAUUAGUGACUUGAAACUACACCCUUGUGCAGAGAAGCUUCAAAGCUGCAUUCUCUAAAAUGUGACCUCUGGUGAAAGCGUGACCCCAGCCAUGACGCUACGUAACCAGAGCCAGGCCAUCCCAGGGAACGUUAAUAUGUCUAGCCCACAUACAUUUUUCAAGUUUUUUUUUUUUUAAAGAUGAAGAAAACAACCUUAAGCCUUUCCUAAAGUGCUCUAACGAAAUUAUGCCUUAUUUGAAAAAGUUAAUUCUCCUCUCUGCCACCUCACCACUAACUCAGCAAAAAUUUGAUUCCUAGUAUGUGGGAAGCACCGUAAUAGGCUGUCAGAGGGAAUUCAAAGAGGUAUGAGGAAGGAACUGGGGGGAAUGGGAAUAACGUAUACACAUUAUUCUGUAAAAUAGAUGAUUACCCAGAGCCUACUGUAUAGCACGGGGACAUCGACUCAAUAGUUUGUAAUAACCCACAUGGAAAAAAGAACGGAUAUACUUUAUAUGUAAGACUGAUUCACUUUGCUGUACACCUGAAACCAGUACAUUGUAAGUCAACUAUCCUCCAAUAAAACUUAAAAACAAAAGAGAUAUGAGGAAGGGUUCCCUUCCUCCAAAUAUUUAUAACGUAAAAGGCAUGUGUAGGACCUGACGAAGAUGAAGACAAAGAUGAGAAGAAGGAGGGGGAGGGAGGAGAAGAAGAGAAAAAAGAGGAGGAACUACCGUGUGUUCCAGCAAUCCCACUCCUGGCACGUAACUGGAGAAAAGCAUAAUUCAAAAAGAUGUUCAUUGUAGCAGCAUGUCCAAUAGCCAAGACGUGGAAACAACCUGCAUAUCCAUCGACAGAGGAAUGGAUAAAGAUGGUGAGGUACAGAUCUACAGUGCAAUAUUACUCAGCCAUAAAAAAAGAGUGAAAUAAUGCCCUCUGCAGCAACAUGGAUGCACCUAGAUGUUAUAAGUGAGGUUAGGCAGACAGUGAAAGACAGAUAAUAUGAUAUCACUUAUAAGUGGAAUCUAAAAAAAAAAAGAAUACAAUGAACUCAUUUGCAGAAUAGAAACAGACUCACAGACUUUGAAAAAUUUAUGGUUACCAAAGGGCCAGGUGGGGGAAGGAGGGAUGGACCGGGGGUGUGGGAUUGGCAGGUGCACACGGAGGUAUAUGGAUGAUUAGCCAGUGAGGACCUGCUGUACAGCACAGGGAACUCUAAUCAAUAUUCUGUGAUAACCUAGGUGGGGAAAGAAUCUGAGAGAGAAUGGAUGUGUGUUUAUGUAUAACUGAAUCACUUGGGUGUACAGCAGAAAUUAUCACAACCUUGUACAUCAAAAACUAUACUUCAAUAAAACUUUCUAAAAAAUGGAAAAAGUAUAAAGUAAAAUUAAAUAUAUAUAUAACUCCCCCCCCCAAAAAAAAGAGAUUAAGAGUAGGAGGAAAAAUAGGAGCUAUCAAAAGUUCUAGCACUUAUCACUAAGAGAUGAUGCAACUACAUUGUAUUGAAACAUAAUUACACUUCAUGAAACUCAAGGUCAAAACUAAAAUCAAGGCAUAUUUUACAGGCACCAACAGAGACCCUGGAUCAAACUGGCUCGUAGGCACAUGGCAUUUGUUUACAAAGGAUCCCAUUUAAGAAGAUCCCAUUCUUUUCUUCUCAUCUUCGAUUCUUAUUAAUGCCAUGGAUACCAUGAGUCAUGAUGAUUUACAACCUAAACAAUUUGGUUCUGAUUUUAAUAUAUGUCUCCAGAGUUGUCUCUUUUCUGGAUAUGUCACUUGUGGCUAGACAUUUGAUACUAUGCAUUAACUCGACUACAGGGUUUCUGCUUACUUAUAGCAAAUAGUGCCUCAGGCUUUUAUUUCCUGCAUAGAUCGUUUUCUUAUGGCUUCUGAUGCCUCGUGCCUUCUAUUUAUUCCCUGUUCCCUAAGGUUCUCUUGGUUUCCCCACGACUCUGCUGUCUACUGACUUCCUCUCAUAACAAACUUCUCAAGAAGGAUUGGCUCCGCCAUUUCCUUAACAGUAAAGAAGAGAUAUAUUCGGGGAUCAGGGGCCACCAGCCAAAAUAUACAUUGCUACCUUUGUAUCCGGUGCUUCUGUGGCCACAUCAUCUAAUCGCCGAUGAUCAGAACAGUGAACACAUGUGGUGAGAAGAAUUUCAGCAGAGGCGGAAGGCACCACCAGCAGCUUUCUGAAACGGAGCUAUGAGCACGAUGAAUUUAGAGACGAAAGGGACCUCCCUGCUUGGAGAAUUUUCCUAAGAAACAGUGGACUGUUCGCUCACGGGGCUCCAUGUGCUCUAAGUGUAGUUAUAGACCUCUUUCCUAUGUCAUGUCCCCUACUGGGAUGAAGUGUUAUUUUGACUUACUUGUCGAAUGCUGUGGCUUUAAGAGGGGUUGUGAUGUCAGUCCAUCCACUCUUACAGCUGAGUCAUCAGACAUUUACGGACCCAGUGAACCUACUUGGUCACAUCUGGGAGUAAACCUAGAAUCUGUGGAUUCCCUUUACAGUGGCUUUCCACUGUCCAGUCUCUCUACUGUAUGUGAUCUUAAGGUAGCAAUUCAAAUAAAGUGCAGUGUAGUUUUCUUU